GAUGAACGCUGGCGGCGUGCUUAACACAUGCAAGUCGAACGGAAAGGCUCCUGCUUGCAGGGGUACUCGAGUGGCGAACGGGUGAGUAACACGUGGGUGAUCUGCCCUGCACUUCGGGAUAAGCCUGGGAAACUGGGUCUAAUACCGGAUAGGACCACAUUUUGGAUGGUGUGGUGGAAAGUUUUUCGGUGUGGGAUGAGCUCGCGGCCUAUCAGCUUGUUGGUGGGGUAAUGGCCUACCAAGGCGUCGACGGGUAGCCGGCCUGAGAGGGUGUACGGCCACAUUGGGACUGAGAUACGGCCCAGACUCCUACGGGAGGCAGCAGUGGGGAAUAUUGCACAAUGGGCGCAAGCCUGAUGCAGCGACGCCGCGUGGGGGAUGACGGCCUUCGGGUUGUAAACUCCUUUCGCUAGGGACGAAGCGCAAGUGACGGUACCUGGUGAAGAAGCACCGGCUAACUACGUG
rnacentral:rRNA from 1 species